UACAGAGGUCCCAAGCGUUGUUCGGAUUCACUGGGCGUAAAGGGUGCGUAGGCGGUCAUUUAAGUCUGACGUGAAAUCUCCGGGCCUAACCCGGAAACUGCGUUGGAAACUAUCUGACUAGAGGAAUGGAGGGGAGAUUGGAAUACUUGGUGUAGCAGUGAAAUGCGUAGAUAUCAAGUGGAACACCAGUGGCGAAGGCGAAUCUCUGGACAUUUCCUGACGCUGAGGCACGAAAGCCAGGGGAGCAAACGGG
rnacentral:rRNA from 1 species